rnacentral:misc_RNA from 1 species
UGCGAUCGCAUUAACUCGCAUCCCAUCUCCAUACUUUCGAGCAAGUUCUACGGCGAGCCAGCGAGUAAAGUUGUCUAUGCUCGCUUUAGCGGCUGAGUAGCCAACCACACGGCUAAUUACACGUGUAGCAGUCAUCGAAGAAAUAUUGAUAAUGCAACCCUUGGGCUUCGCUCCACCUCUUUCUAUCAUUGCCUGACCAAAGACUUGGCUGGGCAAUAGAGUACCGACCAGGUUUAGGUUAACCACUUGCUCAAACGCUUCGUGUGGC